ensembl:rRNA 5S_rRNA 5S ribosomal RNA
GUCUAUGGCCAUACCACAACGUGCACGUGCACAAUCUCUUCUGAUCUUGGAAACUAAAGAGGGUUAGGCUUGGUUAGUACUUGGAUGGGAGAUCACCCAGGAAUACCAGGUGUUGUAGGUA